GAUGAAGAACGCAGCGAAAUGCGAUAAGUAAUGUGAAUUGCAGAAUUCAGUGAAUCAUCGAAUCUUUGAACGCACAUUGCGCCCGCCGGUAUUCCGGCGGGCAUGCCUGUUCGAGCGUCAUUUCAACCAUCAAGCCCUGGGCUUGUGUUGGGGACCUGCGGCUGCCGCAGGCCCUGAAAUGCAGUGGCGGGCUCGCAGACACACCGAGCGUAGUAGCUUACAACCUCGCUUUGGGAGUGCUGCGGGUGCUGGCCGUAAAGCGACCUUUGCGUCUUUAGCACUAGGUUGACCUCGGAUCAGGUAGGAGGACCCGCUGAACUUAAGCAUAUCAAUAAGCGGAGGA
rnacentral:misc_RNA from 1 species